ACGAACGCUGGCGGCGUGCUUCACACCUGCAAGUCGCACGGAAAGGCCUCUUUCGGGGGGUACUCGAGUGGCGAACGGGUGAGUAACACGUGAGUAACCUGCCCUUGACUUUGGGAUAACUUCAGGAAACUGGGGCUAAUACCGGAUAGGAGCUCCUGCUGCAUGGUGGGGGUUGGAAAGUUUCGGCGGUUGGGGAUGGACUCGCGGCUUAUCAGCUUGUUGGUGGGGUAGUGGCUUACCAAGGCUUUGACGGGUAGCCGGCCUGAGAGGGUGACCGGCCACAUUGGGACUGAGAUACGGCCCAGACUCCUACGGGAGGCAGCAGUGGGGAAUAUUGCACAAUGGGUGGAAGCCUGAUGCAGCAACGCCGUGUGCGGGAUGACGGCCUUCGGGUUGUAAACCGCUUUCGCUCAUGACGAAGCUUUGUGUGACGGUAGUGGGUAAAGAAGCACCGGCUAACUACGUG
rnacentral:rRNA from 1 species